AUCACACUCGGCAGAUAGGGAAAAAAAACUAAAGAAAGAGAAAAUCAAAGUUAGCCGAGUGAUCAAUUCCCAAAGUUAGCCGUGUGUGAUUUUUGGUUCACCACCAAUCAGCGAUUUUUUGCUUUGCACGUUUGCAAGGAGAUUAAGGAGAAUACCAAGGAAUCGACGUAGGCGUUCCAAGUUACUAGAGAUCAAGACGGUGAUUCGUGCGUUCAAGAAAAGAAGAAAGCAUAGGACCUCGGUAUUGAAAAGAACGAACAAAAGUGUUCUCAGCAUUACUAAAGUUGAAAAGUGAGGACGAAUUUGUCUGGAAGGAAAAACAUUAAAUGGCUUUUGAAAGCCUACUUAUCAAGACCACCAGUGAUGGUAUCACAUGCGCGAGGAAAAUCACUAAAGCUGUACAUAUUGGCUGAAGAUCAAUCCAUAGCAAGGAUGCUCGCGCAAGACAAUCCCCAAGGCGAGGAAAGAGCCAUUUAUUAGUUGAUUAGAUAGUUACUCAAAUAUGAAUGUAAUUAUUCUCCGUUAGAGAAAUUAUGUUUGGCUUUACCUUUUACAUGUACUAAACUAAGGGCCUACAUAAGGCUUGUAGCAGUGUAUUAAUUUCAAAAAUAAAUAUAAUAAAAUACAUGUUUUCUCA